GUCCAAGUGGUUCAGUGGAUAGAGCACUAGGCUUGGAGUCUAAGUGACUCAAGAUCAAAUCCAGCCUUAGACA
rnacentral:tRNA from 1 species